rnacentral:rRNA from 1 species
GACGAACGCUGGCGGCGUGCCUAAUACAUGCAAGUCGAGCGAAGUUUUUCUGGUGCUUGCACCGGAAAAACUUAGCGGCGAACGGGUGAGUAACACGUAAAGAACCUGCCUCAUAGACUGGGACAACUAUUGGAAACGAUAGCUAAUACCGGAUAACAGCAUUAACUGCAUGGUUGAUGUUUAAAAGUUGGUUUUGCUAACACUAUGAGAUGGCUUUGCGGUGCAUUAGCUAGUUGGUGGGGUAAAGGCCUACCAAGGCGACGAUGCAUAGCCGACCUGAGAGGGUGAUCGGCCACACUGGGACUGAGACACGGCCCAGACUCCUACGGGAGGCAGCAGUAGGAAAUCGUCCGCAAUGGGCGAAAGCCUGACGGAGCAACGCCGCGUGAGUGAAGAAGGAUUUCGGUUCGUAAAGCUCUGUUGUUAGGGAAGAAUGAUUGUGUAGUAACUGUACACAGUAGAGACGGUACCUAACCAGAAAGCCACGGCUAACUACG